AUCCCGGAGACCCUUAGGAAACUAGGGGUGCUUCCAUCUGGAAGAAUCUGGAGACAGGUGCUGCAUGGCUGUCGUCAGCUCGUGUCGUGAGAUGUUGGGUUAAGUCCCGCAACGAGCGCAACCCUUGCCUUUAGUUGCCAGCAGUUCGGCUGGGCACUCUAAAGGGACUGCCGGUGUUAAACCGGAGGAAGGUGGGGAUGACGUCAAGUCCUCAUGGCCUUUAUGACCAGGGCUACACACGUACUACAAUGGCCGAUACAAAGGGCAGCGACACUGCGAGGUGAAGCCAAUCCCGUAAAAUCGGUCUCAGUCCGGAUUGGAGUCUGCAACUCGACUCCAUGAAGUUGGAAUCGCUAGUAAUCGUGGAUCAGCAUGCCACGGUGAAUACGUUCCCGGGCCUU
rnacentral:rRNA from 1 species